UCUUAAAGUAUUGUCUGGAUUUGGAUUUCUUGCCUCUUUCAAUUGAUCUUGGGCUUGUUGUUGAUAAUUUUCUUGUAGGAACUUUAAAGGAAUCACCUUGUAAAGUUACAUACACACGUUUGUAAGAUGGUUUCUCCCACAAUUUCCACAUACUAUCCUAUUUUCUAUCCAACAAUUACCUGAUAGAUGUUUUUUUCUCUCAAAGGUGGUACACCUCAUAUUAAUGUCAUUGUAGGUUCUUAAAUCAUUAGAUAGAAUUUUUUCGAGGUUGAAAUUAGAAAUUGGAACUUACCAUAUUAUGAUUUUU
rnacentral:lncRNA from 1 species